ensembl:lncRNA
AAAAUUUUCUUUUGGGGUGGAGUAUCCCUUUAAGAUAAGCAUGUUCCCUUAUUAAUUCAUAUUAAAAUUUAAAAUUUUACGUCCAUCUUAUUUGCCAACUAAACAGAUUUUUAUAUUAAAGCAAUUUGUUGCAAGAAUAUCUGAGAACAGGAUCAAACUCUUCUCAGGAAUGGAUGAGAAGACAGCCAUGAUGCAAUCUCAGUGUAGCAGAUGAAUGUGUGUUUGUGUGGAUGUGAAAACCAGAGCAAAUAAAGAGCAGCGAUUGCUCUGGAUGAUCACUGACAAGUACAAACCAUCAGAUUACAGAUCCAGCUGUGAAACACUGUUGACUUCUAUCUUCAAAUAAGGACGAAUGACUUAUGUGCACUUGACCUGAUAAUGUGCAGCUUUCAUUUUUUUGACCCACUCACUGGACAUCUCAAAGAGAGACAAAUGGACAUGCAAGCCAAGUGUAAAGCAUUCAUUGCCACUUCCACGUGCAGCUGUUUGAUGAGCUGUCCAGUGAAACCGGUGGGAAAUUCAGGAGUGCAUCUCAUUAAAUGUCAAGAACAUACCUAUCAUGUUACAGCAAAAUCAAAACACACUAUCCCUCUAUUAUUAUUAUUUGUUUUAAAUUACUGAUUGUAAAUGAUUUCGAUUUUAAAGUAUUUGUUCUCUAACAAAUGUAACUGAUACAGAUUUUAAGUCAUCAAUUGUGUUUGGACAGAUGUUUGUCAUGCGUGAUUUGCAUAAAAAUGUAACCAUUGUCCUAAAAAAUGCAUCAUGCAAAAAAUUGAUGUUUAAUUAAAUUCCUUAUUCAAAAAUAUAUUUUUUAAUUAAAACAUGAACCAGAUAUUUCUAUGUGAGUUUCCCCUUUAGAAAUCAGAAAUAAUCAUUACUGUAAAGAGCAUUUAUUCAUAUUGCACAAACUGUGAAGGUUUUUUAAAAUUAUUUUUAGUUGGUUGCAUUUGGUUUGUGUUUUGUGAUGUUUUGCACAAGUGCUUUAUAUAUCAAACAUACAUCUAUGUUGGUGAAUUAAAAUAGAACCAUCUUUGUACUGCACAUGAAUGUGUUUAAAUGAACUGGAUACAACUUGUAUGUCUUUAGAAAAAUGUUCUUAUUUCUGAAGCCUCUGGUGUUUUUAUGUACAGUCAUUUUCUUGUUCUAUGAGAAGAAUGUAGUUCAUAUUAAAGAAUUAUAAAGCAAG